AUUGAACGCUGGCGGCAGGCCUAACACAUGCAAGUCGGACGGUAGCACAGAGAGCUUGCUCUCGGGUGACGAGUGGCGGACGGGUGAGUAAUGUCUGGGGAUCUGCCCGAUAGAGGGGGAUAACCACUGGAAACGGUGGCUAAUACCGCAUAACGUCGCAAGACCAAAGAGGGGGACCUUCGGGCCUCUCACUAUCGGAUGAACCCAGAUGGGAUUAGCUAGUAGGCGGGGUAACGGCCCACCUAGGCGACGAUCCCUAGCUGGUCUGAGAGGAUGACCAGCCACACUGGAACUGAGACACGGUCCAGACUCCUACGGGAGGCAGCAGUGGGGAAUAUUGCACAAUGGGCGCAAGCCUGAUGCAGCCAUGCCGCGUGUAUAAAGAAGGCCUUCGGGUUGUAAAGUACUUUCAGCGGGGAGGAAGGCGAUGUGGUUAAUAACCGUAUCGAUUGACGUUACCCGCAGAAGAAGCACCGGCUAACUCCGUGCCAGCAGCCGCGGUAA
rnacentral:rRNA from 1 species